GCCUACGGGGGGCAGCAGUAGGGAAUCUUCCACAAUGGACGAAAGUCUGAUGGAGCAACGCCGCGUGAGUGAAGAAGGGUUUCGGCUCGUAAAGCUCUGUUGGUAGUGAAGAAAGAUAGAGGUAGUAACUUGCCUUUAUUUUACGGUAAUUACUUAGAAAGUCACGGCUAACUACGUGCCAGCAGCCGCGGUAAUACGUAGGUGGCAAGCGUUGUCCGGAUUUAUUGGGCGUAAACCGCGUGCAGGCGGCUCAAUAAGUCUGAUGUGGAAACCUUCG
rnacentral:rRNA from 1 species